CCGAAUCGUCAACAAGAGUUGUUGCUGGUCCUCAAAAAAAGGGGGACAUGUGCACGCUCUGUUCACACAUCCACUCACACCAUGUGCACCCUCUGUAGUUCUAUGGUCGGGGGGCCUGUCCUCCUGCUGUGGUUCUGCUUCUUUACACACACGCUGUAACAAAGUCUUAUGGAAUGCAUGCCGCGUUUAACGCAAUACAAUA
rnacentral:misc_RNA from 1 species